ACGGGGCCCGCACAAGCGGUGGAGUAUGUGGUUUAAUUCGACGCAACGCGCAGAACCUUACCUAGACUUGACAUCCGGGAUUUUCUGGAAACAGAGAAGUGCUUUAGCAAUAAAGAACCCGGUGACAGGUGCUGCAUGGCUGUCGUCAGCUCGUGUCGUGAGAUGUUCGGUUAAGUCCGCUAACGAGCGCAACCCUCGCUGUGUGUUACAAGUGUCACACGGAACUGCCGGUCAUAAACCGGAGGAAGGUGGGAUGACGUCAAGUCAGCAUGGCCUUUAUAUCCUGGGCUACACACACGCUACAAUGGGAAGGGACAAUAGGUUGCGAAGCCGCGAGGCGGAGCCAAUCCAGCAAAACUUCCCUCAGUUCAGAUUGCAGGCUGCAACCCGCCUGCAUGAAGUUGGAGUUGCUAGUAAACGCAGGUCAGCCAUACUGCGUUGAAUACGUUCCCGGGGCUU
rnacentral:rRNA from 1 species